AUACGGAGGGGGCUAGCGUUGUUCGGAAUUACUGGGCGUAAAGCGCACGUAGGCGGCGCACGCAGUCAGAGGUGAAAGGCCUGGGCUCAACCCAGGAACUGCCUUUGAUACUGGUGCGCUAGAGUCCGGGAGAGGGUAGCGGAAUUCCCAGUGUAGAGGUGAAAUUCGUAGAUAUUGGGAAGAACACCGGUUGCGAAGGCGGCUACCUGGAACGGUACUGACGCUGAGGUGCGAAAGCGUGGGGAGCAAACAGGAUUAGAAACCCCAGUAGUCC
rnacentral:rRNA from 1 species